UUGGCUAUAGAGUACACCCCCAUCUACUACGGUUGUAAAAAAAACCUGUAUUAUAAAGGGAUAAAUAAAUAUAAUACAUACAAUUGCAGCAUCUAAUACGGUUAACUGCAGCAUUUAAUAUGGUUAAUGAGAUUUACUAGAAACAAAAUCAAAUAACUAAAAAUACGCCCCCAUUUUGAUUAAGUACGACUAAUACCUAAAUUGAAUACGCCUCCUCCUCCUCACAUACUUAACUUCCUCCUCCCACACUAAUCGGUCCUUCAUCUCCAUCUCCCCUGUCGCAACAUCAUCAUCAUCGGCCAACCUCGCCUCGCCUGGCACCUCCAAUAAUUCAACCAACCUGAAAAUCCCACCACUGGACCUGCGGUUCAAAUUUAAAGGAAAAACAAGAGCAGAAAUACAAAUACAAAGGAACUACAACUGUUCACGAAGGACAAGGAAGCGUUUUGGCUUUGAUGGAGAUGCAAAGUUUUCCUAGUGUGAUGCCACUAAUGGAUUCAUUAAAAAUGUCUUGAGUUGAGUGUUGAUCAAAUGACCAAAAUGCCCUUUCAUUCAUGGUUUGGUUUGCUCACUUUCUUUCAGGUACAUCAAAGAAGGAUUAGAGAAUUAAAAAGGACAAUAUGGUCAUUUUGGCAUAUCUUCCUCUGAGGAUUCCUGAUCAGCAGUCUCAAAAAAUUCUUAUAGUAAUUAUUGAUAGAAUUUUGAGUCAUGGAGUAGUUAAGCAUCACAAACUGUUGGGAUAACAAUUCUUUUCUCAAACAGUAAUUGGCUUUGUAGUUGUUAGAUAGAUGUGUUAAUUGCUUUGCUUAUUAUAUGUGUUGUAUUAUUUGUUUCUGUUAGAUGUUGUUAUCUAUACAUAAAGAAACAACAAGCAAGGGCUAUAGAAAUUUCAACAUAUUCCUCUUCGGUCUUCA